rnacentral:rRNA from 1 species
GAUGAACGCUGGCGGCGUGCCUAAUACAUGCAAGUCGAGCGAACGGACGAGAAGCUUGCUUCUCUGAUGUUAGCGGCGGACGGGUGAGUAACACGUGGAUAACCUACCUAUAAGACUGGGAUAACUUCGGGAAACCGGAGCUAAUACCGGAUAAUAUUUUGAACCGCAUGGUUCAAAAGUGAAAGACGGUCUUGCUGUCACUUAUAGAUGGAUCCGCGCUGCAUUAGCUAGUUGGUAAGGUAACGGCUUACCAAGGCAACGAUGCAUAGCCGACCUGAGAGGGUGAUCGGCCACACUGGAACUGAGACACGGUCCAGACUCCUACGGGAGGCAGCAGUAGGGAAUCUUCCGCAAUGGGCGAAAGCCUGACGGAGCAACGCCGCGUGAGUGAUGAAGGUCUUCGGAUCGUAAAACUCUGUUAUUAGGGAAGAACAUAUGUGUAAGUAACUGUGCACAUCUUGACGGUACCUAAUCAGAAAGCCACGGCUAACUACGUGCCAGCAGCCGCGGUAAUACGUAGGUGGCAAGCGUUAUCCGGGAUUAUUGGGCGUAAAGCGCGCGUAGGCGGUUUUUUAAGUCUGAUGUGAAAGCCCACGGCUCAACCGUGGAGGGUCAUUGGAAACUGGAAAACUUGAGUGCAGAAGAGGAAAGUGGAAUUCCAUGUGUAGCGGUGAAAUGCGCAGAGAUAUGGAGGAACACCAGUGGCGAAGGCGACUUUCUGGUCUGUAACUGACGCUGAUGUGCGAAAGCGUGGGGAUCAAACAGGAUUAGAUACCCUGGUAGUCCACGCCGUAAACGAUGAGUGCUAAGUGUUAGGGGGUUUCCGCCCCUUAGUGCUGCAGCUAACGCAUUAAGCACUCCGCCUGGGGAGUACGACCGCAAGGUUGAAACUCAAAGGAAUUGACGGGGACCCGCACAAGCGGUGGAGCAUGUGGUUUAAUUCGAAGCAACGCGAAGAACCUUACCAAAUCUUGACAUCCUUUGACAACUCUAGAGAUAGAGCUUUCCCCUUCGGGGGACAAAGUGACAGGUGGUGCAUGGUUGUCGUCAGCUCGUGUCGUGAGAUGUUGGGUUAAGUCCCGCAACGAGCGCAACCCUUAAGCUUAGUUGCCAUCAUUAAGUUGGGCACUCUAAGUUGACUGCCGGUGACAAACCGGAGGAAGGUGGGGAUGACGUCAAAUCAUCAUGCCCCUUAUGAUUUGGGCUACACACGUGCUACAAUGGACAAUACAAAGGGCAGCGAAACCGCGAGGUCAAGCAAAUCCCAUAAAGUUGUUCUCAGUUCGGAUUGUAGUCUGCAACUCGACUACAUGAAGCUGGAAUCGCUAGUAAUCGUAGAUCAGCAUGCUACGGUGAAUACGUUCCCGGGUCU